rnacentral:rRNA from 1 species
UACGUAGGGUGCAAACGUUGUUCGGAAUUACUGGGCGUAAAGCGUGUGUAGGCGGCUACAUAAGUCGGAUGUGAAAGCCCCGGGCUCAACCCGGGAAGUGCACUCGAUACUGCGUAGCUUGAGUCUCGGAGAGGUUGGUGGAAUUCUCGGUGUAGAGGUGAAAUUCGUAGAUAUCGAGAGGAACACCGGUGGCGAAGGCGGCCAACUGGACGAAGACUGACGCUGAGACACGAAAGCGUGGGGAGCAAACAGG